GUUGAACGCUGGCGGAAUGCUUUACACAUGCAAGUCGAACGGUAGAGGGGGCAACCCCUCGAGAGUGGCGAACGGGUGAGUAAUAUAUCGGAACGCGCCCAGUCGUGGGGGAUAACGUAGCGAAAGUUACGCUAAUACCGCAUACGAUCUAAGGAUGAAAGCGGGGGAUCGCAAGACCUCGCGCGAUUGGAGCGGCCGAUAUCAGAUUAGGUAGUUGGUGGGGUAAAGGCUCACCAAGCCAACGAUCUGUAGCUGGUCUGAGAGGACGACCAGCCACCCGGGAACUGAGACACGGUCCAGACUCCUACGGGAAGCAGCAGUGGGGAAUUUUGGACAAUGGACGCAAGUCUGAUCCAGCCAUUCCGCGUGCAGGAUGAAGGCCCUCGGGUUGUAAACUGCUUUUGUACGGAACGAAAAGGUCUCUCUUAAUACGGGGGACUCAUGACGGUACCGUAAGAAUAAGCACCGGCUAACUACGUGCCAGCCGCCGCCGUAAUAC
rnacentral:rRNA from 1 species